rnacentral:rRNA from 1 species
UAUGUGAUGUCUCUCGCAUAUCAAUAAGCGGAGGAAAAGAAACUAACAAGGAUUCCCCUAGUAACGGCGAGUGAAGCGGGAAGAGCUCAAAUUUGAAAUCUUAAAGGGUUUCCCUUUACGAAUUGUAGUUUAAAGAAGUGUUUUCUGUUGAGGUUUUGGUAAAAGUUCUUUGGAAUAGGACAUCAUAGAGGGUGAGAAUCCCGUAUUUGACCUUUACUUUCAACUUUGUGAUACACUUUCAAAGAGUCGGAUUGUUUGGGAAUGCAGUCCAAAAUGGGUGGUAAAUUUCAUCUAAAGCUAAAUAUUGGCGAGAGACCGAUAGCGAACAAGUACCGUGAGGGAAAGAUGAAAAGAACUUUGAAAAGAGAGUUAAACAGUACGUGAAAUUGUCAAAAGGGAAGCGUUUGACACCAGUGUUGUUUUUCUGAAAAUCAAUUAAAGAACUGUUUAUGCUAAGUUGUUUAGACUUUAUCAGCUAACUGUUUAGUUUUGAGCUUUUCUUUAAUGCACUUUUCAGUUAACAAGUCAACAUCAAUUUCUUUUGCUGUAAAAAAGCUUGAGGAAGGUGGCUUGAGAUUCGUCUUAAGUGUUUAUAGCCUCUUGCCUAUGCAGUCGGAGAGAUUGAGGUCUGCAGCGUAGAUCCUUCGGGGCUAAAUGCAUUUGUGCUAAGUUAUAGCAUUUUAUAGACAACUUGUUGACUAUGAUUUGUCUUGUAGCUUACUCGCUUAUGUUAUUUUACCUACGCUUAGGAUGUUGACUGAUAUGUAGUCGUA